CCAGAUAUUAGUCUGGCAAUGUUGUAUGUGAAUGUUGUGGUUUCCCACGUUUUACGAUUCCACUCGUGUAACGUUAAACGAGUGGAAUCGUAAAACGUGGGAAACCACAACAUUCACAUACAACAUUGCCAGACUAAUAGCUGGC